rnacentral:rRNA from 1 species
AUUGAACGCUGGCGGCAGGCCUAACACAUGCAAGUCGAGCGGAUGAAGGGAGCUUGCUCCUGGAUUCAGCGGCGGACGGGUGAGUAAUGCCUAGGAAUCUGCCUGGUAGUGGGGGAUACCGUCCGGAAACGGGGGCUAAUACCGCAUACGUCCGGAGGGAGAAGGGGGGGGAUCUUGGAACCUCAGGCUAUCAGAUGACCCUAGGUCGGAUUAGCUAGUUGGUGGGGUAAAGGCCUACCAAGGCGACGAUCCGUAACUGGUCUGAGAGGAUGAUCAGUCACACUGGAACUGAGACACGGUCCAGACUCCUACGGGAGGCAGCAGUGGGGAAUAUUGGACAAUGGGCGAAAGCCUGAUCCAGCCAUGCCGCGUGUGUGAAGAAGGUCUUCGGAUUGUAAAGCACUUUAAGUUGGGAGGAAGGGCAGUAAGUUAAUACCUUGCUGUUUUGACGUUACCAACAGAAUAAGCGCCGGCUAACUUCGUG